rnacentral:lncRNA from 1 species
UCCAAAGCACACUUUUCCAAUUUUAAGGUUUCGUCGACCCCUACGGCUGCAGCAAAUACGUAAUCGUGUGUUGUCUCCGUGAUGCAGAUAUGAGUAUUUUGUACGCGUAUCGUUUGGUCGACAAUGUACUCGAAUUUUGAUCCUGAUGGAAGAGGGUCGUCCUUUGAAAGUUGACUGUACGUUGUCAAAGGGUUUCUGCUUCCGGACUCAGUUCCCCAGGCGUAUGAAAUACUGUAGAGGCGAAUCCCAAGUUUUUCGUCUUCAACUUGGGUGUCGAAGAGAAAGUGAACUUCUUGAAGAAGAGAACGUUGUGGUUUGGAUUUGUACAACUCUCUGUAAUCUUCGCACACGGGUGUGGCAAGGAAACGUCAAGUACGUUAGAGGGAUUCCAACCAAUUUAUGUCCUACUGGUGCGAUAUCCUUAUCUGGUUUGUUAAGAAAAGAUAUUUCAAUCUGCCGACUGGUGUCGUAAAGGCGGCUGGAAUUAUCCGACUCCGGUUCUCGAGGAA